GCGGAUGAUGAACGGAGUAGCUGCUGAGCUAUGAUGAUUGAUGGGCGAACUGACG
rnacentral:ncRNA from 20 species